rnacentral:rRNA from 1 species
UACGAAGGGGGCUAGCGUUGCUCGGAAUUACUGGGCGUAAAGGGCGCGUAGGCGGCCAUCUAAGUCAGACGUGAAAUCCCUCGGCUCAACCGAGGAACUGCGUCUGAUACUGGAAGGCUUGAAUCCGGGAGAGGGAUGUGGAAUUCCAGGUGUAGCGGUGAAAUGCGUAGAGAUUUGGAGGAACACCAGUGGCGAAGGCGACUUUCUGGUCUGUAACUGACGCUGAGGCGCGAAAGCGUGGGGAGCAGACAGG